rnacentral:rRNA from 1 species
CUUUACUGCAACCUGGAAUUGAAUUUGGGUUUUUUUUGUGCAGUAUAGGUGGGAGAUUAUAAUUUUAUUUAUAAUCGUUAGUGAGAUACCACCCUUAAAAAGCUAGAAUUCUAAGAGCGUUCCUUGAAACAGGACGCUUAACAGUUCUUGGUGGGCAGUUUGACUGGGGCGGUCAUCUCUUAAAAGGUAACAGAGAUGUGCAAAGGUUCCUUCAGGCUGGAUGGAAAUCAGUUGUAGAGUGUAAAGGCAUAAGGCAGCUUGACUGUAAGACUUACAAGUCAAACAGAGGCGAAAGCCGGCCUUAGUGAUCCGACGGUACCGUGUGGAAGGGCCGUCGCUAAACGGAUAAAAGUUA